rnacentral:tRNA from 1 species
GCUCCCGUAGCUCAGGUGGAUAGAGCAUUAGUUUCCUAAACUAUGUGCACAGGUUCGAGUCCUGUCGGGGGCA